rnacentral:rRNA from 1 species
AUUGAACGCUGGCGGCAGGCUUAACACAUGCAAGUCGAGCGGAGAUGAGGUGCUUGCACCUUAUCUUAGCGGCGGACGGGUGAGUAAUGCUUAGGAAUCUGCCUAUUAGUGGGGGACAACAUUCCGAAAGGAAUGCUAAUACCGCAUACGUCCUACGGGAGAAAGCAGGGGAUCUUCGGACCUUGCGCUAAUAGAUGAGCCUAAGUCGGAUUAGCUAGUUGGUGGGGUAAAGGCCUACCAAGGCGACGAUCUGUAGCGGGUCUGAGAGGAUGCUCCGGCGCGCUGGGAGUGGGACACGGCCAAGGCUCAAACGGGGGGCAGCAAUGGGGAAUAUUGGACAAGGGGGGGAACCCUGAUCCAGCCUUGACGCGUGUGUGAAGAAGGCCUUAUGGUUGUAAAGCACUUUAAGCGAGAAGAAGGCUGCUGAGACUAAUACUCUUGGAUAGUGUACGUUACUCGCAGAAUAAGCACCGGCUAACUCUGUGCCAGCAGCCGCCGUAAAAC